AGUGGCGGACGGGUUAGUAACGCGUGGGAAUAUGCCCCUGGGUAAGGAACAACAGCUGGAAACGGCUGCUAAUACCUUAUGAUGUCUUCGGACCAAAGAUUUAUCGCCCAGGGAUUAGCCCGCGUUGGAUUAGGUAGUUGGAGGGGUAAUGGCCCACCAAGCCUACGAUCCAUAGCUGGUUUGAGAGGAUGAUCAGCAACACUGGGACUGAGACACGGCCCAGACUCCUACGGGAGGCAGCAGUGGGGAAUCUUAGACAAUGGGGGAAACCCUGAUCUAGCCAUGCCGCGUGAUUGAUGAAGGCCUUAGGGUUGUAAAGAUCUUUCGCUGGGGACGAUAAUGACGGUACCCAGAGAAGAAGUCCCGGCUAACUUCGUGCCAGCAGCCGCGGUAAUACGAAGGGGACUAGCGUUGUUCGGAAUUACUGGGCGUAAAGCGCGUGUAGGCUGACUAGUCAGUCAGGGGUGAAAUCCCAGGGCUCAACCCUGGAACUGCCUCUGAUACUGCUAGUCUGGAGUCCGGUAGAGGUGAGUGGAAUUCCGAGUGUAGAGGUGAAAUUCGUAGAUAUUCGGAGGAACACCAGUGGCGAAGGCGGCUCACUGGACCGGUACUGACGCUGAGACGCGAAAGUGUGGGGAGCAAACAGGAUU
rnacentral:rRNA from 1 species